AUUGAACGCUGGCGGCAUGCUUUACACAUGUAAGUCGAACGGCAGCGGGGGCUUCGGCCUGCCGGCGAGUGGCGAACGGGUGAGUAAUGCAUCGGAACGUGCCCAUGUCGUGGGGGAUAACGUAUCGAAAGGCACGCUAAUACCGCAUACGCCCUGAGGGGGAAAGCGGGGGAUUCUUCGGAACCUCGCGCGAUUGGAGCGGCCGAUGUCGGAUUAGCUAGUAGGUGAGGUAAAGGCUCACCUAGGCGACGAUCCGUAGCGGGUCUGAGAGGAUGAUCCGCCACACUGGGACUGAGACACGGCCCAGACUCCUACGGGAGGCGGCAGUGGGGAAUUUUGGACAAUGGGCGCAAGCCUGAUCCAGCCAUGCCGCGUGAGUGAAGAAGGCC
rnacentral:rRNA from 1 species